AGUUUGAUCCUGGCUCAGGACGAACGCUGGCGGCGUGCUUAACACAUGCAAGUCGAACGGAAAGGCCCUGCUUUUGUGGGGUGCUCGAGUGGCGAACGGGUGAGUAACACGUGAGUAACCUGCCCUUGACUUUGGGAUAACUUCAGGAAACUGGGGCUAAUACCGGAUAGGAGCUCCUGCUGCAUGGUGGGGGUUGGAAAGUUUCGGCGGUUGGGGACGGACUCGCGGCUUAUCAGCUUGUUGGUGGGGUAGUGGCUUACCAAGGCUUUGACGGGUAGCCGGCCUGAGAGGGUGACCGGCCACAUUGGGACUGAGAUACGGCCCAGACUCCUACGGGAGGCAGCAGUGGGGAAUAUUGCACAAUGGGCGGAAGCCUGAUGCAGCAACGCCGCGUGCGGGAUGACGGCCUUCGGGUUGUAAACCGCUUUCGCCUGUGACGAAGCGUGAGUGACGGUAAUGGGUAAAGAAGCACCGGCUAACUACGUGCCAGCAGCCGCGGUGAUACGUAGGGUGCGAGCGUUGUCCGGAUUUAUUGGGCGUAAAGGGCUCGUAGGUGGUUGAUCGCGUCGGAAGUGUAAUCUUGGGGCUUAACCCUGAGCGUGCUUUCGAUACGGGUUGACUUGAGGAAGGUAGGGGAGAAUGGAAUUCCUGGUGGAGCGGUGGAAUGCGCAGAUAUCAGGAGGAACACCAGUGGCGAAGGCGGUUCUCUGGGCCUUUCCUGACGCUGAGGAGCGAAAGCGUGGGGAGCGAACAGGCUUAGAUACCCUGGUAGUCCACGCUGUAAACGGUGGGUACUAGGUGUGGGGUCCAUUCCACGGGUUCCGUGCCGUAG
rnacentral:rRNA from 1 species